GCUGGGCGUGGUGGUGCCCACCUGUAAUCCCAGCAGCUCAGGAGGCUGAGGCAGGAGGGUUGCAAGUUCAAAGCCAGAGACCUAGUGAGGCCUUGAUCAACUUAAUGAGACCUUGUCUCAU
rnacentral:sRNA from 1 species